CGUAGGGGCGAGCGUUGUCCGGAAUUAUUGGGGCGUAAAGAGCGUGUAGGCGGUUCGGUAAGUCUGCUGUGAAAUCCUGGGGCUCAACCCUGGGCGUGCAGCGGAUACUGCCGGGCUAGAGGGUGGUAGAGGCGAGUGGAAUUCCGAGUGUAGCGGUGAAAUGCGCAGAUAUUCGGAGGAACACCAGUAGCGAAGGCGGCUCGCUGGGCCACACCUGACGCUGAGACGCGAAAGCGUGGGGGAGCGAACAGGAUU
rnacentral:rRNA from 1 species